AAUCCGAGUGUGACAAUGACUCAGAGUAAGCCCCUCCUGCUUCCUGGCAGCGAAUGGCGUUGCGUCUUCCUGACUUCAUUGUCAAAUUGGAAUCUAGCAUCAGUAGAAACACGCCUGACUCUCCUCCACCAGUCAUACAAGGAGAAUGGUCUAAUGCCUCCCAUUAAAAAAGAGAACUGGCCCAAGCAAGCAAAGGCAGCAGUGCAGUCAUCAACUGCAUGCCCCAUUUCUUCACCAACUACGGAGUUAGGGAAACACAUGUGGACCUGAAUUGUGAAAACUGCAGUGGCCAAAACAAGAACAAGUUUGUGCUCUGGUAUUGUGCCUGGUGGACCAUGCACAAGCUCCACCACAGUCUGGAACUUUCACUUCCUGAUCACAGGCCACACCAAGUUUGCCCCCGGCUGGUGCAUUGGGCCUUAUAUCAAGCAGCGCUUCAGAAAGACCAGAGUGAACACGUUGUCUGAGAUUGCUGGUGUUGUGAAGAACUGCACCAUGACAGGGGUCAACGUCCCACAGCUGGUUGGACUGGAGGAUAUUACGGUGCUGUUGGAAAGCUAUGGCUGGCAACAACACCUGACUCCGAACUUCAGGCCACUGCCACAGAUCAAGCAGUACCAGCACUUCAGCUUCAAUGCUCUGGAGCCUGGUGUUGUUGUCACCAAGGAGCGCUUGGACUGUCAGGAUCAGAUUUUAGCUGCUGUGCAUCGCUGACAUCCUUUCUCCCAUAGAUGGUCUGCCUGUACAAGCACCGCCUGGACUGGACACAGCUAGACAAAUAUAUGUUUUUGAGAAGAUCAGGGAGUUUUGCGACGAAGAGGCUAUGACUCCCUGCAGCUCUCUGUCUCUGAAGAGGAGGUUCCCCCUGAGCAGCAGCACUGUGAGCAGGAGUGGAGCCCCAGUGGUGGGCAGAAGGACCCAGAGACCAAACAGAUUAAAGAGGAACAGGAGGGAGUCAGGACCAGUCAAGAGGAAGAGCAGAUUCAAGAGCAGGGGCCUCAUAUCACUGAUUUCAAUUUCACUCCUUCCUGUGUGGAAAGAGAAUGUGCUUGACUCAUCCCCAAACCCAGACUGUGGAGAAUAGUCAAACCUUUUGCCACUGUGACCCACCUAAAGGGUUUCAAAAUUCCAGAUAAUCAGAACAAUGCCUAAAGCCACAACUCAGCCAUAAGCAGCAACCAUGUAGGACUUGACAGCAGUCCACCAUUGGAUCCCAGCCCACCAUUGGAUCCAAGCCCACCAUUGGAUCCCAGCCCACCAUUGGAUCCCAGCCCACAAUUGGAUCCCAGCCCACUAUUGGAUCUCAGCCCACCAUUGGAUCCCAGUCCACCAUUGGAUCUCAGCCCACUAUUGGAUCUCAGCCCACCAUUAGAUCAGAACCCCCCAAUGUGGGAACCCUACACCUGCCCCUUUUAUGGCAAGACCUUCAAACACCUGUCCAUGUACAUGAGAAUUCACAGAAGAGAGAAACCAUUUAGCUGUGGUGACUGGAGGAAAGCUUCAAUCCCAAGCAACAUCUAACCAGACAUUAUACGCAUUCACAGACGAGAGAAACCAUUUAGCUGUGCUGACAGUGGGAAUAGCUUCAAUCCCAAGCAACACCUAUCCAGACAUUAUACGCAUUCACAGACGAGAGAAACCAUUUAGCUGUGCUGACAGUGGGAAUAGCUUCAAUCCCAAGAAGCACCUAUCCAGACAUUAUACGCAUUCACAGAAGAGAGAAACCAUUUAGCUGUGCUGACAGUGGGAAUAGCUUCAAUCCCAAGAAGCACCUAUCCAGACAUUAUACGCAUUCACUGAAGAGAGAAACCAUUUAGCUGUGCUGACAGUGGGAAUAGCUUCAAUCCCAAGAAGCACCUAAAUGAACAUGACAGACAGGAGUGAAAUAACAUGGCUGCUCCGUCUGGGAUAAAAUAAUGACUCGGAAGACUUAUCUGCUGAGGAAUAUAAAUAAUAUCUACAAAGAGAGAAACACUGACAAUAGAAACAAGUUCUUCAGUCACUCUUAGGAAAGGAGAGUAACUCCAGAACAUUCAUACUGUGGGUCUCAGAUAAAUACAUAUACUGUACCAUGGACUUAGUGUUGUAAAACAGUGUAUGUAAAUAAAGUUUGAUUUGAUUUGAAUGAUGACGUAAUGAUCAAACCGUACAGAGUAUUGUAGGAAAUUCACAGUUCUGCUGUUCAAAGUCUGUUUAAUUUUUCCCUUCAUA